UGCCCAGCAACUACUAUUCCUACCUCCUCGCGUUACUGACCGGGGUACGAGCGACCUUAGGGAAGAUCGGGUAAUCAACCCCGGUGGGAAGUUUGGUCGUAUGCUGACGGGGAAGA
rnacentral:ribozyme from 1 species